UGCAGCUCAAAGUUGGUGGUAAACUCCAUCUAAGGCUAAGCAC
rnacentral:rRNA from 15 species